CCUCCCACCCUACCCCGGGUCCCGAGAAGAAGGAGGAGCGGUGAUUCCCGGAACAGCCGGAGUGGGAGGGAAGGCAGGUGAGUCACCGCUCAGCGCACAGAGGACUUCAUCAACGGUUCAGCCUAAUCGUCACACUCAUGAUUGGGAAGCUCUGGCCCAGAAGCUGUUAAGUCCCUGGAGACAAACCUUGGCCCCGAACCCCGACAUCAGUCCCAGAAGGGCCAGUCUGAUAUCCAGAAGAUACUCUCAAAUUAGGAGGUGUUAAAACCAAAAAAGAGCUCUUCCUAAAGUCAGGAAGAUGGAGAAAAUGACAAAAUGCCACCCUUGCAAAGCAAGCCUCAAUCUUCAUCCUGCUGGCUUCUCUCUUCCACUGCAGCAGUAAAAUGAGUUUUUGUUUUGUUUAGAAUAAGAUUCCAUAAUUUAUUUUGUUCAUAAUGUCAUAAAAGAAAAAAUAUAUUGGCUCUUAGUCGUGCAUGCCAAUAUGAAUUUCAUUGUCUUUUUGGAUUCAGUUUGUCAUUACA